rnacentral:rRNA from 1 species
GAACGCUGGCGGCGUGCCUAAUACAUGCAAGUCGAGCGAACGGACGAGAAGCUUGCUUCUCUGAUGUUAGCGGCGGACGGGUGAGUAACACGUGGAUAACCUACCUAUAAGACUGGGAUAACUUCGGGAAACCGGAGCUAAUACCGGAUAAUAUUUUGAACCGCAUGGUUCAAAAGUGAAAGACGGUCUUGCUGUCACUUAUAGAUGGAUCCGCGCUGCAUUAGCUAGUUGGUAAGGUAACGGCUUACCAAGGCAACGAUGCAUAGCCGACCUGAGAGGGUGAUCGGCCACACUGGAACUGAGACACGGUCCAGACUCCUACGGGAGGCAGCAGUAGGGAAUCUUCCGCAAUGGGCGAAAGACUGACGGAGCAACGCCGCGUGAGUGAUGAAGGUCUUCGGAUCGUAAAACUCUGUUAUUAGGGAAGAACAUAUGUGUAAGUAACUGUGCACAUCUUGACGGUACCUAAUCAGAAAGCCACGGCUAACUACGUG